rnacentral:rRNA from 1 species
CUAGCGACUUCAGAGUUUGAUCCUGGCUCAGGAUUAACGCUGGCGGCGUGCAUAACACAUUCAAGUCGAACGGAAUAUGGAAACAUAUUUAGUGGCGGACGGGUGAGUAACGCGUGAGCAAUCUACCUCCAGGUAAGGGAUAACAACCGGAAACAGUUGCUAAUACCUUAUAACGUAUAGAGGGAGCAUUCCUAUUAUACCAAAGGCUUGCUGCCUGGAGAUGAGCUUGCGUCUGAUUAGGUAGUUGGUGAGGUAACGGCCCACCAAGCCGACGAUCGGUAGCCGGACUGAGAGGUUGAACGGCCACAUUGGAACUGAGAUACGGUCCAG